rnacentral:rRNA from 1 species
GAUGAACGCUAGCGGCAGGCUUAAUACAUGCAAGUCGUGGGGCAGCAUGAAUGUAGCAAUACAUUUGAUGGCGACCGGCAAACGGGUGCGGAACACGUACACAACCUUCCGAUAAGUGGGGAAUAGCCCAGAGAAAUUUGGAUUAAUACCCCGUAACAUAUAGAGGUGGCAUCAUCUUUAUAUUAUAGCUACGGCGCUUAUUGAUGGGUGUGCGGCUGAUUAGAUAGUUGGCGGGGUAACGGCCCACCAAGUCUACGAUCAGUAGCUGAUGUGAGAGCAUGAUCAGCCACACGGGCACUGAGACACGGGCCCGACUCCUACGGGAGGCAGCAGUAAGGAAUAUUGGUCAAUGGACGCAAGUCUGAACCAGCCAUGCCGCGUGAAGGAUUAAGGUCCCCUGGAUUGUAAACUUCUUUUAUCUGGGACGAAAAAAGGCUUUUCUAAGUCACUUGACGGUACCAGAUGAAUAAGCACCGGCUAACUCCGUGCCAGCCGCCGCAGUAAGAC